CAACCUCCGCAGGCUGACCAGCCACAAGACCAGCCUGGGCGAGUAUCUCUUCGGAAGGCUCACCCUGGAACACGACUAGGGCC
rnacentral:pre_miRNA from 1 species